rnacentral:lncRNA from 1 species
AUCUUAUAGCAGCUUGUGUGCAAAAUUAUAAGUUUAUUACUAAGGGCCCGUUUGGUUCAAGUUAUCCCGGCAAGAUUACAGGCAAUCCUGCCAGGAUAACUGUGUUUGGUUAAUCCGCUAUGUAAUGUAGUCGUUAAUGUAACAUUACAAAUCGAACAGAAUUACAUCGAAAAUAUUAAUGGGAGGGGGGUCGUAUAUCUUGCAUUAUUGAAACCCGUUAAUACUACAUAUUAUGUAAAAUGACAAUUUUACCCUCCAACAACCCCAAAUCUAAUUAACUGUAUUAUUUUCAUCUCUCUCGCCUUCCCCCUCUCUCUCGCAUGCCCUUUUCUCUCGCUCUCUCUCUCGCCUUCUUCCCUCUCUCUCGCACGCCCCUUUCUCUCGCUCUCUCUCUCUCACGUCUCUCUAUCUAUAUCUCUUUCUCUCUCGUGCACGAACACUUAUAAUUUUCUAUUGCAUCGUUGGUUUAGACUUUUUUAGUUUUUUUUUAUUAGUGCAAGAACUUUUAAAUUUUUAUAAUGUAAGUGUUUAAGCUUUCACUUUUGGAUGCUAUUAUAAUGUGUGUGGAAGUUUCGACUUUAUAAAAUAUUUAUUCUAUAUGGUGCUUUAUUAAUUUCUUAACUUGGUAAUAGUACUGUUUGAUAUUAAACAUGAAAAAUAUAUAUUCUAUAUGUUUGGUUAAUGAUUUUGUUUAUAGAUGAGUUUUAAAAUUGAAAUUUAUUUGUUAUUGUAUGAUUUUUCAUUAUGUAUAAUGAUCUUUUUUCUAUUUAUUCUUUUAUGGGUUGAAAUUAAUUUUUUGCAACGUUAAUUUUUUUUCAUGUUAGGUCUUUUUAUUUUAUUAAUUAUUAAUAUAAUUAAUUUACUACUGUAAAUUAUAUUUUUGUAAAUAAAAUAAUAUUCAACUGACCACAAUAAGGGCAAUUUUGAAAAAAACUAUGCUUUUAUGUCAGGAUUACUAAAUUUUAUAAACUGAACCAAACAUAUUAAUGUUAUAAACACUGUAAUCUAGUAUUACAUUACUGCAUUAAACCAAACGCGUUAAUGCAGCAUCAGUAGUAAUCUCACGCCGAAAUCUAAGAUCCCUGGAUAUGUCAAGAUACUUUGUAAUAUUAUAUAACUCGAACCAAAUGGGCCCUAAGAGUGUAAAUAGACUGCAAAAAAGAAAAGAGAAUAGUUGAUAGCUUUAAAAAAAAAAAUUAGUAAUAUAUAAAAAGUGAAAAAAUCUGUAAA